GACGAACGCUGGCGGCGUGCUUAACACAUGCAAGUCGAACGGAAAGGCCCUGCUUUUGUGGGGUGCUCGAGUGGCGAACGGGUGAGUAACACGUGAGUAACCUGCCCUUGACUUUGGGAUAACUUCAGGAAACUGGGGCUAAUACCGGAUAGGAGCUCCUGCUGCAUGGUGGGGGUUGGAAAGUUUCGGCGGUUGGGGAUGGACUCGCGGCUUAUCAGCUUGUUGGUGGGGUAGUGGCUUACCAAGGCUUUGACGGGUAGCCGGCCUGAGAGGGUGACCGGCCACAUUGGGACAGAGAUACGGCCCAGACUCCAACGGGAGGCAGCAGUGGGGAAUAUUGCACAAUGGGCGGAAGCCUGAUGCAGAAACGCCGCGUGCGGGAUGACGGCCUUCGGGUGGUAAACCGCUUUCGCCUGUGACGAAGCGUGAGGGACGGUAAUGGGUAAAGAAGCACCGGCUAACUAGGG
rnacentral:rRNA from 1 species